AUGAGCUAUGUUAGCAGUCAGCACAAGGGAGGCGGGCUGUGGGGUUGCCCGCGCGGCGGCGCCGACUUCCGCUUCCGGCUGCAACCCAGCGGGAACGUGCGGCCAUUGACUGGAGGAGAGAGCCGCGUAACGUUUGAGAAGAUGGCGAAAUACGUCGGCGAGAAUCUUCAGCGGCUGUCGACAGGCCGGACGGCACCUCCUGUUUCAGGCUGCACAACGACCGGGUGUACUACGUGAGCGAGAAGAUGCUGAAGUUGGCCGCCAACAUCUCUGGGGACAAGCCGGUGUCGCUGGGGACCUGCUUCAGGAAAUUCACCAAGAGUCACAGAUUCCGGUUACACAUCACAGCUCUGGAUUACCCCGCACCCUGUGCCAAGUAUGGAGUGUGGAUAAAGCCUGGAGCAGAGCAGUCUUUCCUGUAUGGGAACCAUGUGUUGAAAUCGGGACUGGGUCGAAUCACUGAAAAUACUUGCCAGUACCAGGGAGUGGUGGUGUACUCCAUGGCAGACGUCCCUUUGGGUUUUGGGGUGGCAGCAAAGUCUACACAAGGCUGCGGGAAAGUAGACCCCGUGGUGAUUGUGGUAUUUCAUCAAGCAGAUAUUGGGGAAUGUGUGCGGCAUGAAGAGACAUUGACCUAGAACGAAAUCAUCGCGAGGACUUGCGGCUGUGUGGAAGGGCCUAGCUUUGUUUCCUGUGUCUGGGUAGGCUCCAUCAUCAUGUUGAAUUUUGUCAACACUGUGACUUCUUCAGGGAUUUCUUAGUUUAAUAUUUGCACUAUUACGGACGAUGCAGGUUGGAUUCUUAUGCGGAAAUGGCUCAAAAAUGGUGUUUCAGAUCUUUGUGACUAAAAAGAAUACUGUGUUUUAUAUUUGAAUCGGAGGGCUUCUUGUUUUGAGUAACAGGUUCUAAGUCAUUCGAACUGAGGCCAAGAAUAGCUAGCUGAUUGUUAUCUGUGAUAACAGUAUUUUCCAAACUCAUGAGAAGACCACAAUAGAUUUUCUUCAUUAUUUUUUAACGCCAUGAAAGUUA